rnacentral:lncRNA from 1 species
UAAACGGAAUUUACAAAAUCGGCCGAAGAUCGUGUCGAUGCAGCCCUGCCAACCCAUACGAACUCGUGAAAGAAAAAGAAGUAUUGGCGAAGUCGCCGACUUGAAAGUAAAGUACAAUGAAAAAGUAGAUUGUUUGUACUGAUUGAUGUGUUGUUCACAAAUCUCUAGAGAUGGCUAGUUAUAGCCUGUUACAACUGAUUUCCUAACCGACUAGGAUCUAUCUCUAAUUUUAAACGAAAACAAAUAUUUACAAACACAACUUGUAUCGGAGUUGGUUAUCAUAUUCCCACGGGCCAAUCUUUCUCUAUCUUCCUUUCUGGCCCACCUUAAGCCCAUACUAGCCCAGCUGCUCCAACCUUCCAAUCGGCUGACUUCUGUCAACUCCAUUCGCCAAUCGGCCAAUACACUGUAGCACCAAUCGGCCGAUUCCCAACUAUGGCUUUUAGUCCGCCGCAUCGGCCAAUCUUUUCCUUCCCUGACGCCAAUUCAAAAUACGUGUCAAAAUCUGGCGUCAACACAUGCCCCCCCAGUUUCGAAGUAAAACAUAGCUUUUACUUCGAAAUUCUUUUUUAACUCUCUCUCCGAAACAAACGCGGCAAAAAUCCCCUUCUGUUUCGUGGUCUUCUACCUGAUGAUUGCAAUCUUUUCGAACUGGGCGCCUGAGACAACUGCUCCUCCGAAAUUCGUGUAGACGGCGCGAUAAAAAUCCUGCCUUUACCCCUUCUCUCGGACCGUCUUUAAAUACCGACGUCCUCUACCGCUUCUUCUCCACGAGCUCAGUAACUUCCUCCCCGGCGAAUCACUUUCCAUCUUCUUCCUGCGCCCUUUUGUCUUCCAAUCGCAUUCUCUGGCCAUUCUUCUUUCGUCUGCAUCCCACUUCACUUUCCCUCAAUGGCGGUGCCAUCGGCAAGUCCACCAACAACGGAGGCUCCGCCGGCAGCUCCAUCAACAACGGCAGUUCCAUCGGCAACCCUAUCAGCAACGAUGAGCUUCAUUCCAGAGGUAAACAUCCAGAACCUUUUCUCUUUAGUUUUUACCACCCAUGCAUUUUUUAGAUCUAUUCUUAGUUCUUCCUUUUUAUCUUUCUUAGGCGGUCGAACAGCAAAUCACCAUCCGUCUUUUCGAUGCACCUGGCCUUAUUUGCCUAGGCCCUAUGGGGAACCCAGACCCAACUGAUCUGAUCAAUUUAGAAACCCAUAGGAUCUCCUUUAAGCAAUCACCUAUGGAUUUGAGCCAGUGGUCAGGCACUUUUAGAUCUUGGCCGAAUGAAACUCCCGGCUGGAAAGAAUGGUACCAAAGAAUGGCCAACUCCAAGAGAGUUCAAUGGGAUGAAUUGAAAAUCGGCCAAUGUAUAAAUCUAUCUUUGUCCCAUAUGGAGAAAAAUGAACCCCUGGUGAUAGCAGCCUCUUAUUUCUGGUCUGACGCGCUCAAUGUGUUUCUCUUUGGGCACGGACCCAUGACCCUGACUCUGGCAGAUGUUUUGAUGCUGACUAGUCUCGACAUUUCUUCCCCCGAUACCCCUUUUAAUUAUCUGAUCAAGCCAGCCCAUCGGCUAGAGACGAAAGGAAUCGGUGGGUGGAAGGGGUAUAUCAAUAAAAACAUGAGGACCGGGAUGAUUUUAGAGAGAGAAUACGUAGCCUUCUUGAUGAUGUGGCUAGAGAAGCACCUCUUCUGCGGCAGAGCAGUCGGCCCUUCUUCCAACACACAAGCUCUGGCCGAAGCCCUGGCAAGAGGAUCCACUAUUCCUCUAGGGAAACAUCUGUUAGGAUCGGCCUACCACAUGAUGCACCAGAUUGCCAUUAAACUGUCAAACGGAGAGCCGAAUAUUUCAGAUGCUUCUAUAACAGCUUUAGUGAAGAAACCACAAGUUGGUACCCAUACCAAAGAACAGAGCUACUUUUCGCGCUGCCCUUCUGCUAUGACUCGACGUCCAACUCUUUUGACAAUGAUCUCACAGACACCUUGAUCAAACCAGGGAUGUUAUCGGCGAACUUCUUUUCCGGGAAAGAUUCCCCAACUUAUGAGUUUUAUAACCCAUUAGUUGCAGCACGGCAGUUCAGUCUUGGUCAGUUGCCGAUUUAGGUUUACUUUGCUGGCUUCGCAAAAAUUCCGGGACGAGCUCACCAAGGGUCUUGAUUACAAUCAGCUGUGCAAUCUAGUGCUAGACUCCAGCACCAUCGAUCUAAACAACUGGGUGGUAGCUCCUUUUGCUGUCAAGCAAUUUAUACUAUGGUGGGGAGAAUGAAACUAACAUCUCUUCUGUGUAUCCCCCACAACAUACUAUAAUGACUUGGACCCUGACAACAUCGACCCAAAUGCAGCGGUACUACCUUCUUCUCAGUCGAUUUCAUCGUCAUCUCUUUUAUGCUACAAAUUUACCGCUAACUCUUAUUUCCUUUUGCAGUCCGAAAGUCGACUUCCCGCAAUGCACAGCCGAAGUGGUAGGCCGAUAGAAAAUCGCUAUCCAUAUACAUCAUUCCCACUUAUCGGCUAUCAUGCUCCAACCAUUGAAGACAAUACCACCGGCCGAUCGAAACAGGCGCUGAACAAAACCUCUUCAAAGAAGACGAGUCGCCGAGUGCACGCCCGUAUAGAACUGGCCGAUCAGUCGGCGGUGGCAUCAGCUGAAUCUUUAGCUACGCCGAUCCUACUGAUUGUCGAAGAAGUCGACCCCCAGGCCGCUACAGAAGCUGGAGCAGCUGCUGCAUCAUUGUUGAUAGAAGCUGUUCAGGUAACUUCGUACACCUCGCACUCUUCUAAGUAUUUUGUCGAUAUUAACUUCUUCCUUCUGUUAGACUACGCAAAUCGCUCCAGUGCAAUCCCCGCAACGAUCGGCCACAAUCCAAGUAGAGGCAGGGACGCUAGCAAUCCCUCCUACUGAGGUAGAGAAAAUCCAUUCAAAUCAAAUCUCUCAAUCCUUAAUCAAAAUCUAACCGAUUUCUGAUGCAGACUACCCUGGGCACGUCAAUCGCGCCCUUUCAACAGCCAUCGGCCGGACGACUUGCUGAGGUAUAGCAGUUAUUAUCUGUCACCAGACUUUAUCACUUGCCUCAUACUCAUUGUGAUUCGUUUCUUGAUCCUUUCCAGGAGGCUGGCUCGAGCACGGCGACGAUAAUCAUCGAAUCCUCCUCCUCCGAUGAACCAGCCGUGCCAGUUCCCGAGAUGAGGGUAACGCUCCCUCCGGUGCAAGCAGAAGAAAUCCGCUUUAAAGAGGUAAGAAACUUAACAUCCAAAUUGGCCAAUUUCCUAUUACCAUCGGCUAAUCUAUAUUUUUAUCAUUUCUUCUUUCUCACGGGCAGGACACGCCCAACAACAGCCUCUUCUCCUUUGCGGUUGCACUUUCUGACGAUGAAGAGGUAGCCUCACGCCAAGUCGCAUUGAGCUCGAUCCCCGAUGACGUCCGUGCCAAGCUCGAGAGCAUACGGACCCUCCUCCAAGACGACAUCGGCCGACUAGUGGAAGACGCUUCGCCGAUUCGGUAGCUUCUCGGCGAAGUCAGAGGCCGAGUUCCAAAAGAGGCAGAAGAGGCUCUGGCACCCACUGCAUACAUCGAGUCAAUGCGAAUUCCAGUGUUCAGGGCCUUACGCCAUAUGGCCGAUCGUGCCAAAUUAGCAAAGGCACGUGAACAGGACAACUCCUAUAAACACCGAGCUCAAGAAGUGCAUCAACGAAUCAGCUUCCUCGAGAACUCCUGCCCAGAUACCGUCAGCACCAUAGACCGCCUCAAACGGCGAAGGGCAGAACUUGCCAAGGAGAUGGAGUAGGUGAUCAAGGCCAUAGCCGCCGAAGAGAAGAAACUUCAAGACCUCCCAUUUGUCAUUGCUGAUUUGAAGCAGGAGCGGCAGAACUUGGCCCAUGAAGCAAUCCGACUCCAUCAUCACAUGCCAGAAGUCCCUAGAUCGGCUGAUGACGACUAGAGGACUUUAGAUUCGGCCGAUCAAGUUAGGCAGCGAGCAAUUGCGGCUAUUAAUGCCCUCCUCGGGUGAAUUGUAAAAGUACUAAAUGCUCUGUAAACAUGUAAUGUCCUCUUGCCGUUGACGUGCGGGUUCAAACUUGGACUGUUCCCUGUGGCAGCCUUUUCAUUUAAUGAUCCUUUUUUCCGAUGGGACGCGCCUUACCAACCCCUCAGCCUUUUCCAUGAGACCCCGUAUCGUUUCUAAAGGCAUUCACAUCACACGUCCUCUUUUCCUCUAGUGGUUUGAUCUCCAUACCCUCAGACUAGGUGCCGAGAUGUCUUCUUCCUCUUCUUCCUUCUCCAUCUAUCAGGUACGAAAUCUUCCUUCGUUCCUCCAUCUGACAUUUCAAUCAAUCUGACGAUGAGUGGUUGUUUGCUGCUUUUCAGCCAAGACGCCUUAGUCCUGACCUGGAACGAGCGAUCGAGGUCAUGCAUUUCGACGAAUUGCUGUCGCAGGCGGACAGAGAUCUGAUCAGGGCUCAUUACGAAGAACUCAAAGAUCAUAUCCCCGCUGACGUUCAGAAGAUCCUGGACCAUAUGGAUGCCAACUGCUCCAGGUGGCCGCCAACUGAAAGGAGUCAUCCGCUUCCUCGUCAAGUCACCCUUGAGGAUACCGCGACGGGGACAUCCCAACCACCUCUUGACAGAAGCCACCCACUUCCUCGUCCAGUUGAGGUCGAAGCCGCCAUGCAGGAUCUGGAGGAAAAGAGCACCCACCUCUUGAUAGAAUUAGGCCGGAUUGAGAGGGAGAUUAAGAAAAAGCAUGGUCAAUAAAUGUGUUGGUACUUUUGUUCUAAGGGAAACUUGUACCAUGUUGGCCAUGUACCCUGUUACUGUACCGAAUAAUAAACCGGCCAGACUUAAUCAAAUGUUUCGUCCUCAAGGCGACGUUAUCUUUGCAUCAGCUAUAUAAACAAGAGCCAAUAGGAGUUGGCCACGUUGUUCUGAUGUGCCCUAUCAUCAGUUAUGCAUCCACCCAUAUAUUGGGAUAGUAUCUCUUCAGAUAUCUUCCGUUCAAGGCUCUUGUGAAUUCUUCUCCUUCGAUAGUUUCCAGUAUAUAUGCGUUUCCCAGAGUGCAUCGGCCGAUUUUAUACAACCCUUCCCAAGUGGGUGACCAUUUACUGAAUUUGAGAUCCUUAGACCCUAUCGGCAGCACCAACUUCCAUACCAAAUCUCCUUGGGAGAAUUAUUUGACCUUGACCUUCUUGUCAUACCACCUGGCCACCCUUUUCUUGUUUUCUUCAAUGCUGAUCAAGGCCCUUAACCGCUGACCUACCAAAUCGUCGAGCUCCCCCUUCAUGAGGAGGGAAUAGUCAUCGGCUGUCAACUGAUCUUGAAGCGAUGUGCGCCUUGACCCCGUCCUUAAUUCCCAAGGCAAUACUGCCUCGUGACCAUAUACCACCUGAUAAGGAGAUAUUUUAGUGGCCCCGUGGUAGGCCAUCCUGUAAGACCAUAAAGAUUCAGUUAAAGACAGGUGCCACUUCUUGGGUUGUUCUUCUAUCUUCCUGUUGAUCAAUUUGAUUAUCCCCUUAUUGGACGAUUCAGCCUGACCGUUAGCUUGAGCAUAAUAUGGAGAAGAAUUCAACAAUUUAAUUCCCAUAUCGGUGGUGAACUCUUUGAACUCUCCUGAAGUGAACAUCGUCCCCUGAUCAGUUGUGAUGGUUUGAGGGAUACCGAACUGAUAAACAAUAUGGUCUCUCACGAAAUCGACCAUAGCGGCCGAUGUUACAGCCUUCAACGGAACUGCCUCCACCCACUUGGUAAAAUAGUCAGUGGCUACUAAUAUGAACUUGUGUCCCUUGCUUGAUGGAGGGUAAAUCUAUCCGAUGAGGUCUAUUCCCCAACCUCUAAACGGCCAUGGCUUGAUUAUCAGAUUCAUAGCCGAGGCUGGUGCACGCUGCACGUUGCCAAACUUCUGACAAUCUUGACACCCUUUAUAAUAUUUGAAGCAAUCUUCGAGUAUCGUUGGCCAAUAAUACCCAUUGUUUCUGAUCAUCCACUUCAUUUUGUGAGCCGACUGAUGAGCCCCCCACACGCCCUCAUGAAUUUCUCCCAUCAGGACCUUUGCUUCUUCUGUUCCAAGGCAUUUAAGCAGAACCCCAUCAAUCGUCCGGUAGAAUAAAUCAACUUCGAGCAGCACAUAUUUCGUGGCCUAAAAAUGUAUUCGCCGAUCCACUUUCGUGGACGGAUCUUUCAAGUAAUCGGCGAUCUCCUUUCACCAAUCAUCGGCCACGAGGUCCAAAGUCAUGGCACCUUGGAUCAGCCGAUACCCGGACGCGUGUUUGGCAAGCCUAUUGGCCUCUUCAUUGUAAUUUCUGGGAAUAUGCUCAAUAACCGCAGACUUGAAUUCCUUUAAAAGUUGGAGGCAAUCUUCAUAGUAAAUCUUCAAGACGUCAUAUUUGCAUUUAGAUCUCCCCAUUAAUUGAUCCACAAUGAGCAUGGAACCCCUAAAAAUUUCCACCACAUCGGCUUUGAUCUCUCUCAACAAUUGAAUACCUUUUAGGACAGCUCGGUAUUCCACCUGAUUAUUUGUCGCGAAUGCUUCUAUUGGUAGAGAGAAAUCAUAACUUGCCCCCUAAGGCGAUAUGAGGACGAUGUCGAUUCCUGAUCAAGCCCCACAUGAAAAACCGUCGAAGUAAAGAGUCCAUGGAACUGGUUCAACGACAGCGAUUUCUGGUCCACAAUGCUGAACCACGAAAUCGGCCAUUGCUUGACCUUUGACAGCUUUGGCCGAUUCGUACCUUAGGUCAAAUUCUGACAGAGCUAGGAUCCACUUUUCAAUUCUCCCUUUCAAAAUUGGUAAUGGUAGCAUGUACUUUACUACAUCAUCCUUGCAUACGACUAUGCAUUCUGCCGAUAACAGAUAGUGCCUGAGCUUGGUGCACGAGAAAUACAGACACAGGCACAACCAUUCUACUGGGGAAUAUCUUGUUUCGGCGUCCAAGAGUCUUCUGCUAACAUAAUAUAUUACUCGUUCCUUUCCUUCGAACUCCUGUACCAGUGCCGAUCCGAUAGCCCAUUCAUCGGUCGAUAGAUAUAGUCUGAACGGCUUGUCAGCCUGUGGCGGGACUAACACGGGUGGCGAAAUUAGAUAUUGCUUGAUGUCUUCCAAUGCUUUUCGCUGUUCUUCUCCCCACACGAAUUCCUAAUCGGAUUUCAAUUUUAACAAAGGAGUGAAAGCUUGAAUACGCCCGGACAAGUUGGAUAUGAAUCUUCUGAUAAAGUUGACCUUGCUGAUUAGGGACUGCAGCUCAAUUUUAUUCUACGGGGCCACAACCUUGUUGAUGGAAGCUAUGAUCUUCCAGUUGAGUUCUAUCCCACGCUCAUGGACCAUGAAUCCUAGAAAUUGUCCGACCGACACACCGAAUGCACAUUUGUUCGGGUUCAUUUUCAACCCAUGCUUCCUUGUGCACUCCAACACUUCUCGCAAAUCGGCCAGAUGUUCCUGAUAUCCUUUUGACUUGACCACGACGUCAUCGAUGUAGAUUUCCACCAGUACACCAAUAAGCUUGUGAAAAAUAUAAUUCAUAGCCCGUUGAUAUGUAGCGCCGACUUGAAAGUAAAGUACAAUGAAAAAGUAGAUUGUUUGUAUUGAUUGAUGUGUUGUUUACAAAUCUCUAGAGAUGGCUAUUUAUAGCCUGUUACAACUGAUUUCCUAACCAACUAGGAUCUAUCACUAAUUUUAAACGAAAACAAAUAUUUACAAACACAACUCGUAUCGGAGUUGGUUAUCAUAUUCCCACGGGCCAAUCUUUCUCCAUCUUCCUUUCUGGCCCACCUUAAGCCCAUAUUGGCCCAGCUGCUCCAACCUUCC